rnacentral:rRNA from 1 species
AUUGAACGCUGGCGGCAGGCUUAACACAUGCAAGUCGAGCGGGGUGAUGGUGCUUGCACUAUCACUUAGCGGCGGACGGGUGAGUAAUGCUUAGGAAUCUGCCUAUUAGUGGGGGACAACAUCUCGAAAGGGAUGCUAAUACCGCAUACGUCCUACGGGAGAAAGCAGGGGAUCACUUGUGACCUUGCGCUAAUAGAUGAGCCUAAGUCGGAUUAGCUAGUUGGUGGGGUAAAGGCCUACCAAGGCGACGAUCUGUAGCGGGUCUGAGAGGAUGAUCCGCCACACUGGGACUGAGACGCGGCCCAGACUCCUACGGGAGGCAGCAGUGGGGAAUAUUGGACAAUGGGGGGAACCCUGAUCCAGCCAUGCCGCGUGUGUGAAGAAGGCCUUAUGGUUGUAAAGCACUUUAAGCGAGGAGGAGGCUCUUUUGGUUAAUACCCAAGAUGAGUGGACGUUACUCGCAGAAUAAGCACCGGCUAACUCUGUGCCAGCCGCCGCCGCCG